AGAGUUAUUCUUAGAGAAGAGAGCGCAGGACUGAGCACUGAGGCACUCCAACAUUUAGAGGUCAGAUAGAGAAAUGGAAGACAGAAAAUGACUGAGAAGGAGCAGCCGGCGAGGCAAGAAAAAGCCAAGAGAGCGUGAUACGUCAAAAGUCAAGGAAAAGAUUCCUUACUCUGGAGGAAGCCAGCUGCCAUUUCUUGAGUACCUACAUGGAGAGAUGCACAUGCUGAGAACCAGGCUUCGUGCUAACAGCCACACCCAAGGCACUUCCAUGUCAAUCAAGUACAAUGGUUAAGAAUUCAGGCUCUGGAGCAAGAUCACCUGGAUUCCAAUUUAGACUCUGCAACAUCCUAGUUCUAUGACAUUAGAAAACUGCUCACCUGUGCCUCAGUUUUGCCAUCUGCAAAGUGGAGGUCAUAACAAUAUCUGUCUUAUGAAACUGUUGUAAAGACUGAAUGAGAAAAGCUACUAAAAUAUUUCAAAUGGUGUCUGGCACAUAGGAAUCACUCAAAAACUGCUAUUACUUUUGAAGGCAGGUACUGUAUCAUUUAUCUCUAUAGAGCUACUAAACAUGUAUGAAAUGAAUACAUGAAGGAAAUGUUUGUAUCUAAAUUUGUCACCAAAAUUCUCAAGGUAAACACAAAAGUGAAUAUUAAAUAUAUUACUCUAGGCGUUAUGCAUAAAAAUUACACAAGUAUGGUUGCUGGUCUCUUGGAGCUUUUUGGAAAUGAGGUCAUUCUAUUUCUACCCAAGCACUCAGGGAAUUAUACUCCCUUGAGAAGGGAUGUUGGGAUCGAACAGGAACCUCAAGGUUCCUGAAGGCGGCAUGACUGACUCUGAGGUAAUGUCUUCUUUACAUAAAUGUGACUGUUAACAGCAAGGAAACAUGAAGGUAACUGUUUUAACUUGUUUUCCAGUAACUUAAGACUCCCAGGCACUCUGUUCUCCCAGUGUCACAGACACCUGUAAUCUCCCUCAUCCUGUUCAAGGAGAGGGCUGUGUUGUGCGGGCGCCUUUCCUUUAAGUCAUAGAAGUAGGCUUUGGUUCUCAAGCUUCACAAGCUUGUGUGAUUUAGAAGUCAAUUUUUAUUUUUAUUUAUUUUUUAAAGAUUUUAUUUAUUUAUUUGAGAGAGAGAGAG